UGGUGAAGAAGUCAUUAUCUUUAAAGCGAUGUGCAGACAGAUAUAAUCAACAACAACUCGAUUUUCACGUUUGGCAGAGUCAGGAAUACGUCUAAAACGAAAUAUUGUGAUGAAAGUCAUCUCGUAAAAAUCUAUUGUAUUUAAUUAUGGGUGGAACAUUUUCUUCGACAUUUCUACCAGUUUUGUCACAGCCACAAACGAAGAAUAAUGUUUACGAAGCUCAAAGCCACAUGUUAAGAAGAAGCCAUUAUCUAUAAAGUUGAAAGCGAUGUGCUAACAACUUGAUUUUCACGUUUGCCAGCGUCAGGAAUACUUUCAAAGAAGUUAUGACACCGCCAUACACGAAGUAUAAUGUUUACGAAGCGCAAAGCCACAUGUUGUGACAAGCUGAUGAAAAAGCUUGAGUAUCUGUUCAAGGAUUAUCGACGGUGGGAAUAAUUAUUAAAAUGUUUUUUUUUCUAAUUCCUUUUUUUUUUGCUUUAGAUGAUCAUCAUGUGGUACAAGGCCUGCUCCUUUUCCCUCCCUUUAGCUAGGUGCGCUGAGAGAAGGUCCCUGACAAAGGACGGGUUGCGUGUUCUUCGGAGCUCGCUUUAACGUAACGUGGUCAUGUCGGACUAGAGCGCCCCAUUAGGCUCCCGCAAUGAAAUUUUCUGAUAAAGAUACAUUCUUAGAUAAUUAAGUCAAGCAGUUAAGUUAAGAAAAUUUUCUUUGUUUGUCUGAGGGAGCAAGAUAAAAGGGUCUAUGUUAUUGUGUGUAGUUGGUGUCAUUGUAAGGUUUAAGCUGGUGAGUUUAGCCUUGAAGGUCAAUACGGGGACAUGUAUCUUUGCCAAGACGUCAACAAAUCCAUUAAGCCCACUUCCAUCUCAGCAACAAUGAAAGAAACUUGCGUUGCUGAGCUCUGCUGGCUGGGUGGCGUCACCGCACAUUGACCCAGCUACCCAAUGACUUCCUGAAUUUUCAUUAUGUGAAAA